rfam:TPA: Bos taurus chromosome 4, whole genome shotgun sequence.
UCCCUGGUGGUCCAGUGGUUAAGACUCUGUGCUCCCAAUGCAGGGAGCACUGGUUUAAUCCCAGGUCAGGGAA